rnacentral:rRNA from 1 species
UACGAAGGGAGCUAGCGUUGUUCGGAAUCACUGGGCGUAAAGCGCACGUAGGCGGACUUGUCAGUCAGGGGUGAAAUCCCGGAGCUCAACUUCGGAACUGCCUCUGAUACAGCGAGUCUUGAGUCCGGAAGAGGUGGGUGGAAUUCCUAGUGUAGAGGUGAAAUUCGUAGAUAUUAGGAAGAACACCGGUGGCGAAGGCGGUUCUCUGGGCAUUACCUGACGCUGAGGAGCGAAAGCAUGGGGAGCGAACAGG